ACUCCUACGGGAGGCAGCAGUGGGGAAUAUUGCACAAUGGGGGAAACCCUGAUGCAGCCAUGCCGCGUGUGUGAAGAAGGCCUUCGGGUUGUAAAGCACUUUCAGUAGGGAGGAAGGUAGUGUAGUUAACACCUGCAUUAUUUGACGUUACCUACAGAAGAAGCACCGGCUAACUCCGUGCCAGCAGCCGCGGUAAUACGGAGGGUGCGAGCGUUAAUCGGAAUUACUGGGCGUAAAGCGCAUGCAGGCGGCCUGUUAAGUCAGAUGUGAAAGCCCGGGGUCUUAACCUCGGAAUUGCAUUUGAAACUGGCAGGCUAGAGUCUUGUAGAGGGGUUAGAAUUUCAGGUGUAGCGGUGAAAUGCGUAGAGAUCUGAAGGAAUACCAGUGGCGAAGCGGCCCCUGGACAAAGACUGACGCUCAGAUGCGAAAGCGUGGGAGCAAACAGGAUUAGAUACCCCGUGGU
rnacentral:rRNA from 1 species